rnacentral:misc_RNA from 1 species
GAGAUGCGAUAAGUAAUGUGAAUUGCAGAAUUCAGUGAAUCAUCGAAUCUUUGAACGCACCUUGCGCUCCUUGGUAUUCCUUGGAGCAUGCCUGUUUGAGUAUCAUGAAAUCUUCAAAGUAAAUCUUUUGUUAACUCAAUUGGUUUCUACUUUGGUAUUGGAGGUCUUUGCAGCUUCACACCUGCUCCUCUUUGUUCAUUAGCUGGAUCUCAGUGUUAUGCUUGGUUCCACUCGGCGUGAUAAGUUAUCUAUCGCUGAGGACACUGUAAAAGGUGGCCAAGGUAAAUGCAGAUGAACCGCUUCUAAUAGUCCAUUGACUUGGACAAUACUUUUAUGAUCUGAUCUCAAAUCAGCUAGGACUACCUGCUGAACUUAAGC